rnacentral:misc_RNA from 1 species
CCCCAAAGCCGCUUCCGAAACAAGCCAUCAGCACACUGAUGGCCUUCCCACAACUCAAGUCCCGCCGUGACAAUCCCAGGGACAAAAACCACAGGAUGCUUGACCUUCAAUCCCUCUUUCUUCAGCUUCACACCCGGCGGGUCCGGCAAGGGACCCGUGAUAGCCUCGGUGACAUACUGGGGCACAUAUGCAGGCAUUGCGUUGUAGAGAAACAGUAGAACCCACCACGCUAUGCAUAUGCAGCCCACGAACCAGCAGCAGCUGUCUAUGCAAGACCAUUUCGGUUUGCUUCCGGGCUUUUCCUGCGCUCUUCCACUGAUGGGUUUCUUUUGGUGUUCCUUAUUGUUACUAUCCUCCUCCUCCUCGCUUGGUGUUUUUGAAUCCGAUGCUGAUGGUUUGCUGGGUUCAUUUGGUUUUUUGCGCCGAAUUAGAGGCAUUUCUGAGUUCAAUUACCCGAUAAGUGUAUGAUUAAUGAUUAAAUGCAAUGAGCU